AUGGGAUUCGGAGCAACUGUGGCCAUCGGUCUCACCAUCUUUGUGCUGUCUGUCAUCACUAUCUUCAUCUGCUUCACCUGCUCCUGCUGCUGCCUGUACGAGAUGUGCUGCCAACCACAUCAGGUUGUUACCACCAUCACAUUCACCACUGUGGUGCACGCCCCUUACACUCAGUUUCCAAGUGUGCUGCCCAGCUACCCUUGACUGAGCUACAAGAGCUACCACCACAUUCCCCCCAGCCAGGGAUGCCAGCAGCACCCUAUCCAAUGCAGUACCCACCACUUUACCUGGUCCAGUCCAUGGGACCGCCGGUCUACCACAAGACCCUGGCUGGAGGAGCAGCCGUGCCCUACCCUGCUAGUCAGCCUCUUCACAACCAAGCCUAUAUAAAUGCCCCAAAGGUGUCCCCCUGAGCAUACCACAUCAUCUCUUCUGCUACUCAGUUAUGUUCUGUGUGUGUGAGUGGUAUGCAGGCACAGUUCCUUACACCCCGUGUGUGCUGUGUGUGUCCUGCCUAUAUAUGUGGCUUCCUCUGAUGCUGACGAGAUGGGGAAUGAUCCUUGCCGGAGUGGGCUGGGACCAGACUUUGUUCUCUUCCUCACCUGAAAUUAUGCUUCCUAAAAUGUCAACCCGAACUCAAAGAAUAGGGCGAGGGGAAAGCACCCUGCAAGGUGGCCCCUGAGAGGUGGGGGUCUCUCCAAGGCAUUUCUGGAGUUCUUUUCCAGCCUACCCUAGGGUCACCAAGUGUGACCUAUCACACCAGGAUGGUGCAGCUUUCAGUGAGUAUGAUGCAGGUGU